rnacentral:lncRNA from 1 species
GUUUGGUCAGAAAUUAGCUGUCUGGGGGAGCUCUAACCUCCCAGGAGGGGGAAUUGAGGGAGUCGUGCUGUGUUGCAGCUUGCUAGCUGCCUAGAGCUUUGAGGACUGGAGAUAUGAGAGAGAGGAGGAAAGGGCUGCUGAGUGAGGAAAAAGGAGAGUGUGUUAAGAGAGAUGCUCUCAAGGGAGAAUUCCUCAUUGCCCCAUUCCGUCCAUGCCAGCUGAAAAGUAGAGAGCGAUGGAACCUGUUAGAACAGAGUAGUUGACAGCAUCUUUUCAACAUGGGAUAGAACAGGUAUCUGACUUGAGAGAGGCGUUCGAGCAUGAGUGAGUCUCUGUUUUUUACUUGCUGUGGGCAUCAUUGUGCUUCCUUUUCUCCUGUCAGUGCAUUUAAUCAAGAGUCCUCUGUAGUUUUCAGUAGAUCGCCAAAGCUCGAACUCCUGCACUGGAGUAUGUAGCACCUUCUGGUUUUAGACCUGAACAUGUUAUCUUAAAGUUAAACAUUGUAUUGCUCCAUAUAUUUCAUUGGUUGCAUUUAUGUUUUUCUUUAUAACAGCUUCCAACCAGCGGACUAUACAACCUCCUAGGAAUAACUGAAGGGAAGUGAUGGACUGUAACUUGAAAGUCAGAAGUGGAAGAAUUCAGUUGUCUGAGCACCAUGGCCUUCACAACUCACAGCUGGAAGGAACACACAACAGUGACUGACUUUCAUCUCUGAAAAAAGUCAUUGAACCAUAAAUGAAUAUUACAGUUAAGUUUAUAUUAAAGCAGCUGUAAUUUACGUAAUAAAAAAUAUAUGAUGUGCUGUGUAACCAAUCGAAA